GUAAGCGAGCGCAGCAGGGACUGUGGGCGGGCGGGCGGACGGCGGCCUAGGGCGCGGAGGACGGACUGGGAAUGGCGCGUCCUGCGCCACCGGCGUAACUGCGGCGCU
rnacentral:pre_miRNA from 1 species